rnacentral:tRNA from 1 species
GGGGAUGUAGCUCAAUGGUGCAGCACUUGCCUGGUAAGCAUGAGGCCCUGAGUUCAAUUCCCAGUACCGCCC